UUUAAUGAGGCUGAGGCUAGGUACUGUAUGGAUCACAUAUUAAAUGGGAUUGAGACUCUGCAAAGAGCUGGCAUAUGCCAUCGUAAUUUGAGCAUCGAGAACUUGAUGA
rnacentral:ribozyme from 1 species